ACCAUAAUAUAAAUCUUUGACUAUAAUUAUAGGGCUUUACCCAAAAGGGAGCCCUUCCAGAAAUUCUCGAGGACCUGGGCCAAACCCAGGCCCAAGAGGGGGUUUGGAAAUAGUUUUCAACCAGCAAUAGACGCGCCUCGGUUAGAACCUCACUAGCUGCGUCAUUGCCCCAAGCGCAAAGAUGCUUUCUCUUCUCUCUUUUCUAACCUUUUAUAGAAACCCUUGAGCCAAGUCCCAUUACAUUUCCGGCGAUGUGGGACUCACUCACUUUGCAUAAGGAGUCAGGUACUUUCAACUAUGAUGUUAAAUAUAAAGGGACUACUGCUAAAUCAUUGUCUUCCCUUGAACAAGAUGAAGGGUUGUCCAACGAUGGGGUUUUACUUAACAACAAACGAGUUCUGUUAGGUUCUGGUGUUGAGACUUUUGAGAAGAGCAAGGCUGCCCUCAAAAGUUGGAGGUAUUUUUACAUGUGUAUGUGCGCGUGCGCGCCAUGGUUUUAAAUUGGGUGAUUACUCACAUGAAGUGCCUUAUCUGUUUUAUAUAUUUGCGCGUCAUGGUGUGUGUUGUUGGACUGUUAAGUUGGGGAGUUGGUUAGUUACCUAGUUAGUUACCUAACAAAACCGUUUAAUUAUUUAUUAUUGUGUGUAUUCACUGUUUGAAGUUUGAACAUAGUAUCUUAUGGGUAA